GAACAAGAUGAGCUCUAAACUCUAAAUCAGCCGGUUCUACGCAGAACCAGGAGGAGGAGAAAGGUCCGGAUGUGCCGAGCAUCAAGGUGUUGAAUCAAUGUCAAGGUGUUGAAUGAAUAUCAGGAGUGGAAGAAGGAAGGAGAGGGAGGGGCAAAGGGGGAGAGCCGGAGGCAGCCACCGGGAAGAAGGGAGUGAAGAGUGACAACCAAGCACAAAAAUGGGUCAGAACAGCCUGCCCAAACCCCACCAUCCAAACCCAGUGCAAACGCGGCCCCUCUGCAGAGCCGUCCACCUCUGAGCGCCACCAGCCCCCGGAAGCUGCCUCUUUCCUGAGAAGCCAAGGCCCCUGGCUGAGAUCCUUCUC